rnacentral:tRNA from 1 species
CGCGGGGUAGAGCCGUGGUCAGCUCGCUACUUUGACUUGGUAGAGGUCGGUGAUUCGAAUUCAUCCCCCGCAA